CGGGGUUUAUCGGAUUAGCUUGCUAAACUGACAAACCUAGCGGCGGACGGGUGAGUAACGCGUGAGCAAUCUGCCUCAUACAGGGGGAUAACAGGUGGAAACACCUGCUAAUACCGCAUAAGACUCCACUACCGCAUGGUAGAGAAGUCAAAGGGAUUACCGGUAUGAGAUGAGCUCGCGUCCCAUUAGCUAGUUGGUAGGGUAAAGGCCUACCAAGGCGACGAUGGGUAGCCGACCUGAGAGGGUGAUCGGCCACACUGGGACUGAGACACGGCCCAGACUCCUACGGGAGGCAGCAGUGGGGAAUAUUGCACAAUGGAGGGAACUCUGAUGCAGCAACGCCGCGUGAGUGAAGAAGGUUUUCGGAUCGUAAAACUCUGUCAUUGGGGAAGAAUAAAUGACGGUACCCAAUGAGGAAGCCCCGGCUAACUACGUGCCAGCAGCCGCGGUAAUACGUAGGGGGCGAGCGUUGUCCGGAAUUACUGGGCGUAAAGGGUACGUAGGCGGCUAUAUAAGUCAGGUGUGAAAUACCAGUGCUUAACACUGGAAUUGCAUUUGAAAC
rnacentral:rRNA from 1 species